GGGAGGUCUGGGAGCAGGGAAGCGGUGGGAGGAGAGAGGCGGCCGGAGGGAGGAGGGAGGCGAGGAGCGGGAGUGAGUGGGGGGCGCCGGGAAGAGAGCCAAGGGGGAGGAAGCUGGUGGGGAGCGGGAGGCAGGGAGGGCGGUGGGCUGGGGGCUCUGGUGGAGGCAGGAGGAGGCUGCCCAGGUUCAGCCUCUCGCUGACAUGAUGGUCAAGCAGCUGCACCAGGCAGGGCGCAGGCACAUGCCGAUACAGCAGCCUGGACCCGGAGCAGCUGCACACACACAGAAGCAUAGACACAUUCAAACACACACACAUACGUACAGACACACGCACACACAUUCAGGCACACACACAAAGCAUAUGCACGCGCACUUUCAAACACACACAGGGGCAUAUACACAGGCACAUUCACACAGAUGCCGUCGUAGACACGUACAGACACGCACUGAAACACGCAGACACACACCCACGCGCAUUCAAACACACAGGCACAUCCACACAUCCACUGCUGUACACCCACGUACAGACACAGACCCACUGGUGUAUACAUGCACACUGGUAUGCACACACGUGCAGACACACUCGUGUACAAACACACACUAGGGUACACACAUAUACAGACACACACACUCAUGUACAUACACACAGGUGCACACCCACGUAUAGACACAUACAGAGAAACAUACUACUGUAUACACACAUACAAGCACACACUUCUGCACAUACACACACUGGUGUGCACACACAUGCAGACACACGCACACAGGCACUCACUCGUGUACCUCCACACACUAGUGUACACCCUUCUACAGACGCACACAGUUCUGCACAUACACAUACUGGUGCACACGCGUAUAGACAUACACACAUCCUGGUGCACACACGUAUAGACACACAGUCCCCACACUCAUGUGCGUACACACAGUGGUGCACACCCAUGUACAGGCACACACAGAGACACACUUGUGCACAUACACACGCUGGUGUACACAUGCAUACACAGACACACUGUGGUGCACACACAUACAAGCCCAUACUUG
rnacentral:lncRNA from 1 species